rnacentral:lncRNA from 1 species
GCCGCUUUGUGAUACUCAUACGCUCAAUCUCUUCAUCUUCUUUGAAUUCAUCCUCAUUGCUAGAUCUUCUUCUUCAAUCCCCUGUCCCAUAAACCCUUCUCCCAAUGGUUCCUACAGAUGCAUACACCGACCAAGCAUAAAUUCUAUUAAUCUUCAAAUAGAAUCAGCGGCGUUAGGGUUUUGUUGAAGAAAAUACAAAUUGUAUUUAUUUUGUUGAUUCAAGCAUAAAUACGGAUUCCUCAAGAGCUGGUUGGAUUAGUCCCUAGACAAGAAAACCUGAAACAAACGGGGAAUUAGGGGUUUCAGAGAUAACUAUAAGGAAAUUUGGUUUCUGGACGACAGGACUUAUUGGUUGGUUGGCUUCAAUGCAACCUUGGCCCCUGUUCACGCCCGAGAACUUGGAUCAAAACCGGAUUUGUUUCAGUCCAAUGGCGAAAAUACUCGAUAUGUUGCAACUGAUCUGACUGCUGAUAUGAUUGUAAGCGUUGGAGACGUUAAAUUUUACGGCCACAAGGUUUGCUACUUUCAACUCACUAAUUGAAUUAAAAUCAAGGUAUGUUAGGUUGUAGAGUUGUUUUUGGUCACUGCUUUUUAGGGUUGGUUAAUUAUAUCCAUUUUUUUUCUAGCGUAUAAUGUGGUUCAUAUCGAAGGAAGAAAUCUGAAAUGUGAAAUCUACAGAGGGAAGCUAGCUUAAUGGUUUUGUUUGAAUCCAGGAAGUAUGAUAUGAAACUGCAGGUGUUGGGGGGGGGGGGGGGUACAGUCAAUUUGUGAUCUCUAUUCUCAUUGUUAGAUUAAUUAGAGUUUAAGGUUUCUCUUGAUAAAAUAUGGG